rnacentral:rRNA from 1 species
CAUGCAAGUCCGAGCGAGAACCAGGGCUUCCGGCCCUGGGGAAAGCGGCGAACGGGUGAGUAACACGUGGGUAAUCUGCCCUCGGCACCGGGAUAGCCCGGGGAAACCCGGAUUAAUACCGGACGGCCCCUCGAGCUCUCGGGCUCGAGAGAAAAGGUGGCUUCGGCUACCGGCCGAGGACGAGCCCGCGGCCGAUUAGCUUGUUGGUGGGGUAACGGCUCACCAAGGCAACGAUCGGUAGCUGGUCUGAGAGGACGAUCAGCCACACUGGGACUGAGACACGGCCCAGACUCCUACGGGAGGCAGCAGUGGGGAAUCUUGCGCAAUGGGCGAAAGCCUGACGCAGCGACGCCGCGUGCGGGAAGAAGGCCUUCGGGUUGUAAACCGCUUUCAGGAGGGACGAAGCCACUCGGGUUAAUAGCCCAGAGGGUGACGGUACCUCCAGAAGAAGCCCCGGCUAACUACGUGCCAGCAGCCGCGGUAAUACGUAGGGGGCGAGCGUUGUCCGGAUUUAUUGGGCGUAAAGAGCGUGUAGGCGGCCAGGCAAGUCCGACGUGAAAUCUGGAGGCUUAACCUUCAGCGGUCGUUGGAAACUGCCUGGCUAGAGUCCGGAAGAGGAGAGUGGAAUUCCUGGUGUAGCGGUGAAAUGCGCAGAUAUCAGGAAGAACACCGAUGGCGAAAGCAGCUCUCUGGGACGGUACUGACGCUGA